rnacentral:rRNA from 1 species
UAAGGAAUCUUCCACAAUGGACGAAAGUCUGAUGGAGCAACACCGCGUGCAGGAUGACGGUCUUCGGAUUGUAAACUGCUUUUAUAUGGGAAGAUUAUGACGGUACCAUAUGAAUAAGCACCGGCUAACUACGUGCCAGCAGCCGCGGUAAUACGUAGGGUGCAAGCGUUAUCCGGAAUCACUGGGCGUAAAGCGUGCGUAGGCGGAAGUUUAAGUGCAAUGUUAAAUCGUGUGGCUCAACCAUAUCGAUGCAUCGCAUACUGGGCUUCUAGAGGACGGCAGAGGCAAGUGGAAUUGGUAGUGUAGCAGUGAAAUGCGUAGAUAUUACCAGGAACACCAAUGGCGAAGGCAGCUUGCUGGGCCGCCCCUGACGCUGAGGCACGAAAGCGUGGGGAGCGAACAGG